rnacentral:siRNA from 1 species
AUUAUCGUGUCUUGGAUGAUUUGA